UGAGAAGAAGAAAGCGCUAGACGAACAAAUGAAACAAGCAAGUUCUUGUUGUUAGCUUCACAGUUGUCUUCGCUCUAGUAAACACGGAGUCAGCCAGCUGUGAAAGACCCCCCCCAGCCUUGUUCUCGUGCUUAUUAGUCACAACCUGAGGGAGGGCGGGGAGCGAAAUCAUAUCUGCCUUUCUGAAGGAUAAUGUGACAAAUGAGGCAGGCCGCAACAACAUUCGGAUGCAGCGGUUUCAAGGAGAAACGGAUGUCAUCUGGGACACGUGCAUCACAUUCAAGUGUAUUCAGCUGACUAGUCUCCAAAACAUAUUUUCCUAUCGAGGGUGUGUUCUACGACUUCCGAUAAAGCUGCAUGAGAAAAUCUCGUCCCUCUUAAGUGCUGCUAUUUUUAAAUGACGGACGAUGUUUUAUCCAAGUUCCAUGCGUUAUUUAUGUCCGAUGUGAAUUUAUUUCAUAACCCCAGGGAUUGGGAAUAGUCAUCUGAUACAAAAGGGAGGAGAUAUUGAAGGGAGCAGGUAUUGAGUGCACAAGUCCCCCACUGUAAAUCAGUAGCCAGUUCGCGAGGGUGAUUAGUUCUGGGUCACGUGAGGUCAUGACUAGUCAACUUGCUGCUGAGAACCAUUUUACCUUUUGAUUUAAAUGUGUUCCACAUCCUACUGCUGUCAAAUAUGACAAAAGCGCUCAGGCGCAAAUUCAGUUGUUGUUGA